UUUCCGUAGGUGAACCUGCGGAAGGAUCAUUAUCGAAUUUCGAGGGGAAGGAAGAUGAGGAGUGGAGACUGUCGCUGCUUUCCCGCCUGGGAAGCAUGUGCACGCCUUGCGUUUCGUUGACCUUUCUCUUACUCUCACACCUGUGCACCCAUUGUAGGUCCUCGAAAGAGGAUCUAUGUUUUUAUCAUCACACGCAUCGUAUGUCCAUAGAAUGUAACAUGAUCGUCGAUCGACCUCGCGGUCGGGUGGCGGUCUAAAUAAAUAAAUACAACUUUCAGCAACGGAUCUCUUGGCUCUC
rnacentral:misc_RNA from 1 species